rfam:Bombyx mori DNA, contig: Bm_scaf89_contig34227, strain: p50T/Dazao, build 2, whole genome shotgun sequence.
UUAAAUCAAAUUUGUAUGCAGUUGGAACGUUUGGCUAUGUUUGCCGCAAGGGGCGCUGUUCCAACUGCAUACAAAUGUGACAUA